AUUGAACGCUGGCGGCAGGCUUAACACAUGCAAGUCGAGCGGGGUGAUGGUGCUUGCACUAUCACUUAGCGGCGGACGGGUGAGUAAUGCUUAGGAAUCUGCCUAUUAGUGGGGGACAACAUCUCGAAAGGGAUGCUAAUACCGCAUACGUCCUACGGGAGAAAGCAGGGGAUCACUUGUGACCUUGCGCUAAUAGAUGAGCCUAAGUCGGAUUAGCUAGUUGGUGGGGUAAAGGCCUACCAAGGCGACGAUCUGUAGCGGGCCUGAGAGGAUGAUCCGCCACACUGGGACUGAGACACGGCCCAGACUCCUACGGGAGGCAGCAGUGGGGAAUAUUGGACAAUGGGGGGAACCCUGAUCCAGCCAUGCCGCGUGUGUGAAGAAGGCCUUAUGGUUGUAAAGCACUUUAAGCGAGGAGGAGGCUUACCUAGUUAAUACCUGGGAUAAGUGGACGUUACUCGCAGAAUAAGCACCGGCUAACUCUGUGCCAGCAGCCGCAGUAA
rnacentral:rRNA from 1 species